rnacentral:rRNA from 1 species
UACGUAGGGGGCAAGCGUUGUCCGGAAUCAUUGGGCGUAAAGAGCGUGUAGGCGGUCCGGUCAGUCGGUUGUGAAAGUCAAGGGCUCAACCCUUGAAUGCCGGCCGAUACUGCCGGGCUAGAGUCCGGAAGAGGUGAGUGGAAUUCCUGGUGUAGCGGUGAAAUGCGCAGAUAUCAGGAGGAACACCGAUGGCGAAGGCAGCUCACUGGGACGGUACUGACGCUGAGACGCGAAAGCGUGGGGAGCAAAC